GCGGGGAAAGAAGACCCUUCUGAGCUUGACUAUAAUCUGGCAGUGUAAGGAGACAUAUGAGGUGUAGAAUAAGUGGGAGAUAUUAGAGUUCGGUUUGGUAUCGACAAUGAAAUACCAAUACUCUUAUUGUUUCAUUACUUACUUGAUUAAAUGGAACGUGUAUCAUUUCCUAGCCAUUAUACGGAUAUAAUUAUUAUGUCUUAUGGUAUUGGGUUUUGAUGCAAGCUUCUUGAUCAAAGUAUCACGAGUUUGUUAUAUAAUCGCAAACAAAUUCUUUAAUGAGAGAAUGCAUUUAUGUAUUAUUGAUUUAAAAAUUUGGUAUAACUCCAAUUACUCAGGUAUGAUCCAAUUCAAGGACAUUGCCAGGUAGGGAGUUUGACUGGGGCGGUACAUCUCUCAAAUAAUAACGGAGGUGUCCCAAGGCCAGCUCAGUGCGGACAGAAACCACACAUAGAGCAAAAGGGCAAAUGCUGACUUGAUCUCGGUGUUCAGUACACACAGGGACAGCAAAAGCUCGGCCUAUCGAUCCUUUUGGUUUAAAGAG
rfam:Drosophila virilis strain TSC#15010-1051.87 Ctg01_8791, whole genome shotgun sequence.